rnacentral:rRNA from 1 species
UGGGGAAUCUUGCACAAUGGGCGAAAGCCUGAUGCAGCGACGCCGCGUGCGGGAUGAAGGCCUUCGGGUUGUAAACCGCUUUCAGCAGGGACGAGGCCGCAAGGUGACGGUACCUGCAGAAGAAGCCCCGGCUAACUACGUGCCAGCAGCCGCGGUAAUACGUAGGGGGCAAGCGUUAUCCGGAUUCAUUGGGCGUAAAGCGCGCGUAGGCGGUUUGUUAGGUCAGGAGUUAAAUCUGGGGGCUCAACCCCUAUCCGCUCCUGAUACCGGCAGGCUUGAGUCUGGGAGGGGAAGGCGGAAUUCCCAGUGGAGCGGGGAAAUGCGCAGAUAUUUGGAAGAACACCGGUGGCGAAGGGGGCCUUCUGGGCCACGACUGACGCUGAGGCGCGAAAGCUGGGGGAGCGAACAGG